rnacentral:rRNA from 1 species
ACAGAGGUGGCAAGCGUUGUUCGGAAUUACUGGGCGUAAAGGGCGCGUAGGCGGCCCUCUAAGUCAGACGUGAAAUCCCCCGGCUUAACCUGGGAACUGCGUCUGAUACUGGAGGGCUUGAGUAUGGGAGAGGGAUGUAGAAUUCCAGGUGUAGCGGUGAAAUGCGUAGAUAUUGGGAGGAACACCAGUGGCGAAGGCGGUCCCCUGGGCCGGAACUGACGCUGAGGCGCGAAAGCGUGGGGAGCAAACAGGA